rnacentral:rRNA from 1 species
AAUGAACGCUGGCGGCAGGCCUAACACAUGCAAGUCGAACGCCCCGCAAGGGGAGUGGCGCACGGGUGAGUAACGCGUGGGAAUAUGCCCUUCGGUUCGGAAUAACACAGGGAAACUUGUGCUAAUACCGGAUAAGAUCUACGGAUGAAAGAUUCAUCGCCGAUGGAGUAGCCCGCGUAGGAUUAGCUAGUUGGUGAGGUAAUGGCUCACCAAGGCGACGAUCCUUAGCUGGUCUGAGAGGAUGAUCAGCCACACUGGGACUGAGACACGGCCCAGACUCCUACGGGAGGCAGCAGUGGGGAAUAUUGGACAAUGGGCGAAAGCCUGAUCCAGCCAUGCCGCGUGAGUGAUGAAGGCCUUAGGGUUGUAAAGCUCUUUCGCCAGGGAAGAUAAUGACGGUACCUGGAAAAGAAGCCUCGGCUAACUCCGUGCCAGCCGCCGCGGUAACAC